rnacentral:rRNA from 1 species
AACGAACGCUGGCGGCGUGCCUAAUACAUGCAAGUCGAACGAGAAAGGGGCUUCGGCUCCGAGUAAAGUGGCGCACGGGUGAGUAACACGUGGGUAACCUGCCUCUAAGAUUGGGAUAACUCGUCGAAAGAUGAGCUAAUACCGAAUAAGACCACAGUUCCCGCGGGAACAGGGGUCAAAGGUAGCCUCUGCUUGCAAGCUAUCACUUAGAGAUGAGCCUGCGCACCAUUAGCUAGUUGGUAGGGUAACGGCCUACCAAGGCAAAGAUGGUUAGCUGGUCUGAGAGGAUGAUCAGCCACACUGGAACUGAGACACGGUCCAGACUCCUACGGGAGGCAGCAGUGGGGAAUAUUGCGCAAUGGGCGAAAGCUUGACGCAGCAACGCCGCGUGAGUGAUGAAGGCCUUCGGGUCGUAAAGCUCUGUCGGGAGGAACGAAUGCUCCUGAGGUUAACAGCCUCGGGAGGUGACGGUACCUUCAAAGGAAGCACCGGCUAACUCUGUG